ACUCAAUAUGUGUACCUACUGUAAAUAUGGACAAAGAGAAAUUUGUAGGCUUUAGGUGGGCAUGUGAUGAGCUUUUAUUGCCCAUAAAGGACCUGCAGACAUGU